AUCACCUGUGCCUUCUAUGAGGAUGUGAAAAGAAUCUGAAGAGAGAUCAAAGGACAAUGUCUUGGCAGCAAAAAGGAUCAUCUCAACAAAUUUGGUGGACUGAGACCAUUACGUGUAUGUUGAGUGCUGCUAGUCUAAAGGAAUAGUUCAGUUGUGGAGGAUGAACCACGAAUAAGUCUCAACAAAAGAUUCACAUCUUAAGUAACAAGGAUAUAGGUAUCACUGGCUAAAUCAGGGCUUCGUGCUCAACCCUAAUUGCCCCAGAAAAGCUGG